CGUUCUCGCGUUGUCCGUCUCUUUUAACUUCUACAUGCUCUACACACAAAAAAAGAGAGUCCUGAGAUGGUGCGCAAGGAGUGAAAGGAGCGCGGCAUUACGUUUUUCCGGAUCGCUGACAAGUAGCACAAGAAAGACGGGACACAGAAGAAGCAGAACGCAAAACGAGCGCUAACUUGCAACUAAAAGGUUUACUGAAAAAUUCUGCCAAGCAAACAUACCUAGUGCACACACACGUGGCACAAUGCCAUAGCUAUCUUGAUGAAUAACAACACAGCCCAUUCGGAAAAAAAAAAAAUAAAUAAAUAAACAACAACAAAGUUAUCUUCGUGAUUCAAGGUGG